UACGUAGGGGGCUAGCGUUGUCCGGAUUUAUUGGGCGUAAAGGGCUCGUAGGCGGCCAACUAAGUCAGACGUGAAAUCCCUCGGCUUAACCGGGGAACUGCGUCUGAUACUGGAUGGCUGGAGUGUGGGAGAGGGAUGCGGAAUUCCAGGUGUAGCGGUGAAAUGCGUAGAUAUCUGGAGGAACACCGGUGGCGAAGGCGGCAUCCUGGACCAUUACUGACACUGAAAAGCGAAAGCCAGGGGAGCAAACGGG
rnacentral:rRNA from 1 species